UGUCAAAGACAAAGACUAGGAUUUGC
rnacentral:piRNA from 1 species